rnacentral:tRNA from 1 species
UGGGGCUUGGGCUCAGCGGUAGAGCACUCACCUAGCAUGUGUGAGGCCCUGGGUUCAAUACUCAGCAUCACAU